CAAUUUCGAUUUGUUGCGGGGAAAUGAAGUGAACAUGGCUGUCGACGCCUCCGGCCGUUACAAUCAGAUUCUCACCGGAUAUAACCUCCGUACCAACACCAAUGUACAUAUUCGGAGUAACACCGUCCAUGAUCAACGGGUUUCCGGAUUUCCCUAUUCCACUGAUUAAUCCGUCUUUUAUGCCGAUGUCUGCUUUCACAAUUCCCCAAGUAUCAAUAAUAAUGGCAUUCGUAAUGACCGUGUCCAGAACGCCCUCAUCCCUAGUUGCGAGCGGGUGCUGCCCCAUUCCGUCCCGG
rnacentral:sRNA from 1 species